rnacentral:lncRNA from 1 species
GCCAUCUCACCUACGCAAACAAGGAAUCAACAACGUUAGUAGGAAGUACGGGGAAAUCACAAAGAGACUAGCCAGCAAAAAAAAAAGAAGAGAGGCCAAGCCUCCCAGGCUGAAGGCCUCGGCCUGCCCGCGCGCAAGGAGAAAAAAAGGAAAGGGGAGCCCGAGCUCCAUGGGCCUCCAGCCCACCAGUUCCUCGGCCCGCCCGCGCGCAAAGAGAAAAAAAGGGAGAAAACUAGCGCCACGCCCUCCAAGUGUUCGGCGUAAUGCCGCACACUGCUCGCGCACCCGCGCGUCGCGCCGGGCACAUCCAUGUCCUGCCGCACG